GGUACUGUUCAUAAGAGGAAACCCGCAAGAGCCGGGUCACGUGUCGGUUUUUCUGGUGCUACACGGAAGAUAUGAAACAUGGUAGCUACUAGGUACAGUACGACAUAUCUUCUCUGCCCAUUUUCCUCCAAGAGCUACUCUGAUGCACACAGCUGCCAAAAACAUAGGUACGGAUAUCACAGCUGCAACAAUCUUCCUACGCACAGUAUAUCUCUGGAAGAUUAUGAAGGACAAUUGCUUGAUCUCCUAUUAGGAUAGUCAUUGGCAGGGCCUGAUAUAUCGAUUACUCCUUCUGAUAGUCUUCUGCAAUUACUCAUCUUAUUGGUUGAAUUCUGGGUCUGAUGGCUUUGUUGAGUGGUAGUGUGAAUUCUUCUUCGGGAAGCUUUUCUCUGGCGUUGCGGCGGCGAGGUUCACUUUGGGAUUCACCUGUUCUUCGCCUUCAUCUACCAGCCAACCGCGAUGCUUUCUCCGGCAUCGAUGACGACAGUGUUUUCGUUGUCAUUGUCUCACUCGCCAAACACUUUGUGUUGCAUUUCCAAGGAGUUGUGGGUUAUCUUGGUUUGAAUUUGUUUGUGAGGAGGAUCUACAAAAACAUCAAGUGUGACUAAGGCAAUUGUUCAAGUCGAAACUAGAGCAAUUUCAUAUGAUGGUUACGAGAGACAAUAAAUUGUUGGAGGAAGCCUCUGGUCAUAUGUGGAGGACCAAACCAGCUUCUUUCAACAUCAAAACGUUCAAAUGGCAACUCAAUGCCUUCUCUGUUGCUUUCCAUCUUGAACUCAAUCUUUUAUUAUUUUUUCAAUGGAUCUCGUUCAGUAUUAAUUUUGUUCCUCUUGGACUUUGAAUUUCUCUCUCACCCAUCAAAGCUAUGCUCUCAUUUCCCAAAUCAAAAGUCAUGAUUUUUCCUGCCAUGAACUUCAUUCCCCUCUUUUUCUCCUUAUCAAUUAUGCUAAUUAGCAGAACACACUUUUUUUCUUCAUCCAUUUAUUUACAACUUCGAAAGUAGUUUCUUAUUUAGUGAUUUAGGCCAUUUUUUAAGACCUACCACCAGGUGAUAUUUGAGAUGUUGUAUGACUUUGUGUGUGUUCUAUGAUAUUUCUUUAUUACGGGGGUUGUGGUAAUUCUUUUUAAGACCUACCUUAAUUGCUAUUUGUAUAUUUGGUCUGUUAUUGCAGCAGUGAUCAAGUCGGAGGUUCAAAUGCUUGGGAAGAGAAAUAAAUUGCAUUGGGUAUAACUUUAACUCAACUUGGGUUAAGAAAAAUACUUUAACACAUUGUCGCUCUUUUAGUGGGUGAUGUUCCAGUUUAUCAAUUAAGUCUCUUGCUGCUUUCAGAAAGUCAGUUACAAAUUGAAGGUGAGGGAAGUUUAAAUAGAAAAAAAAGAGUAGUUUAAUUAAGUAGUGUUUUUGUAUCUUUACUUGGACUUAUUUAUGCAUCUACUUUAUUGUGUUAUAUGGUAUGUUUUUGGAUUCUCAUAAGUAAGGAUCAUUUGAUGGUAAUGGUUAAGAGCUUGCUCUGAAAUCUAAUAUGUUUCUGGUACAAGAAGAGUUGCAGGUGUCGAAUUAGCAAAAGUUAUUUGCAUGUUUCUUUUUUCUGCCUCAUUCUUCUAUUUGUUGACUUCUUUUGGGUACUCAAUCUUAAACAAUCUUUAUCAUUUCUGUAAGUAGAAUGGUAAAGGAUAAAAGUAUAGUCAUUGGGACCAUCUUCUGUGUGUUACUUUUCAAUAAAAUUUAGGAUGCAUAUAAUUAAAACUGUUUGAUAUCCUGUUAAUAAUAUUAUGAGAACAGUGACUUUGUUGAACAAGAUUUAUGCUGAGCAUAUUAAUCAAAUGAGUUCAGUUAGUUAUUAGUUUUCAAUAUAUUGCUUUUGUGAUGAUUGAAGGUGAUAAUUUGAUACUAAAUUAUUCUUUUAGUGGCAAUGGAAGAGUGUUAUUAGUUUUAUUUUCAUCUAUACAUUAUACUUUUAUGAUCAGCAUAUUUUCUUCCUUUUGUGACUUCUAUAACCAACAAUGGUGAUGGUUUCACUCUUGCUCCAGCUCAUUGUCUUUUUGGGCAGCCUUCGGGUUCUAUCUGUUGAAAAUUAACUGACACCGAGUGAAUGAUUUUAUCGGUUUUCUUCUAAGAAAGAUUCAAUACUCCUUCUGUUGUAAUGCUCACUGACUUGAUAUUAGUAUUAGUUCAAGUGUGUGGCAAUUUGCUUCUGUUUAGUUUGGAUGUGGAAAUCUUCCUGGAACGUGAUGGAUCAAGCGGAGAAGCAACAGAGCAGCUACACAUAGGCAUACAUGUCUGGACAACAGAGAACUGAAAAACUUGCAGGAGCUAUGGCGGUGAGAGGAUACAAUGUUAAUUUACAUAGUUUAGGUUUUAUUAUUAAUUUUUCAAAUUACAUUGAUUCAUGAUAUGAUACUUUGUACUUUUGAGUU